AUAAAGGGUUUCAGAGAAUCACCCCACAUCGACUCUCUGCCCUCAUCACUCUGGUACUGCCUGGACGCAUUCAUGUACUUGCUUACUGGUCCAUCUUCCCUCAUUAGGAUGUGAGCUCCAUGCAGGCAGGGGCCCUGUCUGUCCUGUUCACUCCUGUGGCCCAGUGCCUUGACCAGUGCCCAGCACCAGGCUUUCAAUGGAUAUAUACUGAAUAAAGAAAUAAAUGGGGACGCCUGGGUGGCUCAG